AACCCAUGGUAAAGGCACCUUCUCAAUAAGUCCUUAUACCUCUCCCAUGGAUCGUAAAGAGUUUUUAAAUCCAUCUGCACAAAAUAAGAGAUAUCAUUCCUCAACUU
rfam:Gossypium arboreum cultivar AKA8401 contig_72073_1, whole genome shotgun sequence.